GACGAACGCUGGCGGCGUGCCUAAUACAUGCAAGUAGGACGCAGUUGCGAACGUGUGAGUAACGCGUCGGUCACUACCUAUUAGAGGGGGAUAACUAUUGGAAACGAUAGCUAAUACCGCAUACUAGUAUAUGGACCUUCGUUGUAUUAGCUAGUAGGUAGGGUAAUGGCCUACCUAGGCAACGCUACCUAGCCGACGCGAGAGGGUGGUAGGGCAAACUUGGACUGAGGCACGGGCCAAGAUACCACGGGAGGCAGCAGUAGGGAAAUUUUGGCAAUGGGGGGAAACCUGACCGAGCAACGCUGCGGGAUAGAAGAAGGUUUUCGGAUCGGUAAACGAUGUUGUUAAGGGAGCGGUACUUAACCAGAAAGGGACGGCUAACUACGUGCCAGCAGCCGCGGUAAUUC
rnacentral:rRNA from 1 species